GACGAGGGGUCCUAGCGUUGUUCGGAAUCACUGGGCGUAAAGCGCUUGUAGGCGGCUCUGUAAGUCGGGUGUGAAAUCCCACGGCUCAACCGUGGAAGUGCAUUCGAAACUGCAGGGCUUGAAUAUGGAAGAGGAGAGUAGAAUUCCAGGUGUAGUGGUGAAAUACGUAGAUAUCUGGAGGAAUACCGGUGGCGAAGGCGGCUCUCUGGUCCAAUAUUGACGCUGAGAAACGAAAGUGCGGGGAUCAAACAGG
rnacentral:rRNA from 1 species